ACACUCCUGCGGGAGGCAGCAGUGGGGAAUUUUGGACAAUGGGCGAAAGCCUGAUCCAGCAAUGCCGCGUGGGUGAAGAAGGCCUUCGGGUUGUAAAGCUCUUUUGUCAGGGAAGAAACGGUGAAAGCUAAUAUCUUUUGCUAAUGACGGUACCUGAAGAAUAAGCACCGGCUAACUACGUGCCAGCAGCCGCGGUAAUACGUAGGGUGCAAGCGUUAAUCGGAAUUACUGGGCGUAAAGCGUGCGCAGGCGGUUUUGUAAGUCUGAUGUGAAAUCCCCGGGCUCAACCUGGGAAUUGCAUUGGAGACUGCAAGGCUAGAAUCUGGCAGAGGGGGGUAGAAUUCCACGUGUAGCAGUGAAAUGCGUAGAUAUGUGGAGGAACACCGAUGGCGAAGGCAGCCCCCUGGGUCAAGAUUGACGCUCAUGCACGAAAGCGUGGGGAGCAAACAGGAUUAGAUACCCCGGUAGUCCCAU
rnacentral:rRNA from 1 species